rnacentral:rRNA from 1 species
GACGAACGCUGGCGGCGUGCUUAACACAUGCAAGUCGAGCGGUAAGGCCCUUUCGGGGGUACACGAGCGGCGAACGGGUGAGUAACACGUGGGUGACCUGCCCUCAGCUCUGGGAUAAGCCCGGGAAACUGGGUCUAAUACUGGAUAUGACUCCACGGUGCAUGCCGUGGGGUGGAAAGCCUUGUGCGGCUGAGGAUGGGCCCGCGGCCUAUCAGCUUGUUGGUGGGGUGAUGGCCUACCAAGGCGACGACGGGUAGCCGGCCUGAGAGGGCGACCGGCCACACUGGGACUGAGACACGGCCCAGACUCCUACGGGAGGCAGCAGUGGGGAAUCUUGCGCAAUGGGCGAAAGCCUGACGCAGCGACGCCGCGUGAGGAUGACG